AACGUCUCAGUUCGGAUUGUAGUCUGCAACUCGACUACAUGAAGCUGGAAUCGCUAGUAAUCGCGCAUCAGCCACGGCGCGGUGAAUACGUUCCCGGGCCUUGUACACACCGCCCGUCACACCAUGGGAGCCGGUAAUACCCGAAGUCAGUAGUCCAACCUCGUGAGGACGCUGCCGAAGGUAGGAUUGGCGACUGGGGUGAAGUCGUAACAAGGUACC
rnacentral:rRNA from 1 species